CAGACAGCUAGGAGGUUGGCUUAGAAGCAGCCAUCCUUUAAAGAAAGCGUAAUAGCUCACUAGUCGAGUCGGCCUGCGCGGAAGAUUUAACGGGGCUAAACUGAUAACCGAAGCUGCGGACGCAUACUUGUAUGCGUGGUAGAGGAGCGUUCUGUAAGCCGUUGAAGGUGCAUCGUAAGGUGUGCUGGAGGUAUCAGAAGUGCGAAUGCUGACGUGAGUAACGAUAAAGCGGGUGAAAAACCCGCUCGCCGGAAGAUCAAGGUUUCCUGUCCAACGCUAAUCGGGACAGGGUUAGUCGGUACCUAAGGCGAGGCCGAAAGGCGUAGUCGAUGGAAAACAGGUUAAUAUUCCUGUACCGCUAUAUACUGCGAUGGGGGGACGGAGAAGGCUAGGUGAUCAGGGCGAUGGUUGUCCCUGUACAAGCUUGUAGGGAGAUCUCUUAGGUAAAUCCGGGAGAUCAUUAUCCUGAGGAGUGAUGUCGAGCUCAAUUGCGAGCGAAGUCAUUGAUGCCAUGCUUCCAAGAAAAGCCUCUAAGCUUCAGGUAUAUAGAGACCGUACUCUAAACCGACACAGGUGAUCAGGUAGAGAAUACCAAGGCGCUUGAGAGAACUAUGGUGAAGGAACUAGGCAAAAUGGUGCCGUAACUUCGGGAGAAGGCACGCCGAUUUUGGUGAUGGGAUUUACUCCCUAAGCUGAGGUUGGCCGCAGAGACCAGGCCCCUGCGACUGUUUAUCUAAAACACAGCACUCUGCAAACUCGUAAGAGGAAGUAUAGGGUGUGACGCCUGCCCGGUGCCGGAAGGUUAAUUGAUGGGGUUAGCUUCGGCGAAGCUCUUGAUCGAAGCCCCGGUAAACGGCGGCCGUAACUAUAACGGUCCUAAGGUAGCGAAAUUCCUUGUCGGGUAAGUUCCGACCUGCACGAAUGGCGUAACGACGGGGGCGCUGUCUCCACCAUAGACUCAGUGAAAUCGAAAUCGCGGUGAAGAUGCCGUGUUCCCGCGGCUAGACGGAAAGACCCCGUGAACCUUUACUAUAGCUUGGCACUGAACUUUGAACCUAUCUGUGUAGGAUAGGUGGGAGGCUUUGAAGCGUGAUCGCUAGAUUGCGUGGAGCCAUCCUUGAAAUACCACCCUGGUAUGUUUGAGGUUCUAACGCAGACCCGUUAUCCGGGUCGCGGACAGUGUCUGGUGGGUAGUUUGACUGGGGCGGUCUCCUCCCAAAGAGUAACGGAGGAGCGCGAAGGUACACUCAGCAUGGUCGGAAAUCAUGCUAUGAGCGCAAAGGUAGAAGUGUGCUUGACUGCGAGACUGACACGUCGAGCAGGUACGAAAGUAGGUCUUAGUGAUCCGGUGGUUCUGUAUGGAAGGGCCAUCGCUCAACGGAUAAAAGGUACUCCGGGGAUAACAGGCUGAUACCGCCCAAGAGUUCAUAUCGACGGCGGUGUUUGGCACCUCGAUGUCGGCUCAUC
rnacentral:rRNA from 1 species